GGACGGGUGAGUAAUGCCUGGGAAAUUGCCCUGAUGUGGGGGAUAACCAUUGGAAACGAUGGCUAAUACCGCAUAANGUCUACGGACCAAAGAGGGGGACCUUCGGGCCUCUCGCUUCAGGAUAUGCCCAGGUGGGAUUAGCUAGUUGGUGAGGUAAUGGCUCACCAAGGCGACGAUCCCUAGCUGGUCUGAGAGGAUGAUCAGCCACACUGGAACUGAGACACGGUCCAGACUCCUACGGGAGGNNGCAGUGGGGAAUAUUGCACAAUGGGCGCAAGCCUGAUGCAGCCAUGCCGCGUGUAUGAAGAAGGCCUUCGGGUUGUAAAGUACUUUCAGUCGUGAGGAAGGCAUUAACGUUAAUAGCGUUGGUGUUUGACGUUAGCGACAGAAGAAGCACCGGCUAACUCCGUGCCAGCAGCCGCGGUAAUACGGAGGGUGCGAGCGUUAAUCGGAAUUACUGGGCGUAAAAGNGCAUGCAGGUGGUUUGUUAAGUCAGAUGNGAAAGCCCGGGNNCUCAACCUCGGAACCGCAUUUGAAACUGG
rnacentral:rRNA from 1 species